rnacentral:tRNA from 1 species
GCGUCUGUAGCUCAGUUGGAUAGAGCGUUGGCUUCCGAAGCCAAAGGUCAGAAGUUCAAGUCUUCUCAGGCGCU